AACGUAGGUGGCAAGCGUUGUUCGGAAUAACUGGGCGUAAAGGAUGCGUAGGCGGUUAAACAAGUUAUAUGUUAAAUAUAUAGGCUUAACCUGUAGAAAGCAUAUAAAACUGUUUAACUAGAGUGCAGGAGAGGUAAGUGGAAUUCCUAGUGUAGCGGUGAAAUGCGUAGAGAUUAGGAAGAACACCAGUGGCGAAGGCGACUUACUGGACUGUAACUGACGCUGAGGCAUGAGAGCAUGGGGAGCAAACAGG
rnacentral:rRNA from 1 species